rnacentral:lncRNA from 1 species
AGGAGGACACACCAUAGGAAUUGGACACUGUACCUUAAUCUCGAACAGGUUGUACAAUUUCACAGGCAAGGGAGAUACCGACCCUUCAUUGGACCCAAGAUACGCUGCUCAACUGAAGAAAAAAUGCAAGCCUGGAAACUCCAACACAGUCGUCGAGAUGGACCCCGGUAGCUUCAAGUCUUUCGACGAAGAUUACUACACCAUUGUAGCUAAAAGAAGAGGAUUAUUCCAAUCUGAUUCAGCUCUUCUUGAUGAUGCUGAAACAAGAGACUAUGUCAGAUUUCAGUCAAGGACACAGGGAUCCACCUUUGCACAAGAUUUUGCUGAAUCCAUGGUGAAAAUGGGUUACAUUGGAGUCCUGACCGGCAAACAAGGCGAAAUCAGGAAACGUUGUGCUGUUGUGAAUUAAAUCGAUAUUUAAUUUCAUUUUCCAUACCUGAGUUGCUUGUAACGAAGUUGCAUAUUGUUCAUGUUUGAGUUGUCUUUUAUCUGCCUCUACUUUCUAUCUUUUUUCGCACUUGCAACCCAAAUGGUUGCAGGAUGUACUUAAUAAUUUUGAGGUUGUGCCAUUCCUUGUAUUUUAGUGAUUUAUUCAAUUUCUUCUAAUGAAUAUUACAACUUUCAUUAUUCUCUUAAUAUUGUAAUAUCUGCUACAUUUUGUUUUUGAAUAUUCCAGAAAAAUUCUUCCUUCUUUGAAUCACAUUCAUAUCAUCUUGCACCAAAUCCAAUAACUACAAGAUCCAUCAUCCUGAGUUAGUAAAUGAGAGUGUUCUGUGCAUUUAUAGGCCAUGAUUAUAUGCAGGAAGAGCAUCCCAGCAACUUAUCCAACAGCUCCACUGGAAUUAACAUAGUUUUACAGCAAGUUCAGUUUGGAAGAACAUUUUUACAAGUACAACAAAAUUAAUUAGUUUCAUGAAGUAAUUUAAUACUCAGGUUGGUAAUCCAUGCAAAUUUUCAUCAACCAAAUGUCUCUUAACUACAUGUCUAUGGAGGUGAGAUCAGCUAACUUAUUUAUCUGGCAAUGAUGCAAAAACAAUGUCCCAAAUCCGAUUCACACAGCCACCCCUUGGAACUUGUAAGUGCCCCAAUCUUCAAUGUAUUUUCCUGAAACGGCAAGAUUUCCAAACUUUUUUUCUUGUAUUUCAUUCACUUUAUUCUCACACAGCACCUGGAGUUAGAACCAAAAAAAGAAGAAGCAAGAACACAUUAUAUGUUGCUCAGUCAAUAUGCUUCUAUCAGGGACACUUCUGAUUUUCACUCCUGACAUGGUGACAGCAUUGAAUCUAACCGUUGGUUUAUCUGAUCAGGAUGUAAGAAGCAAGAACGCAAUAACCUGCAGGUUGGGAUUAGAAGCAGUGGAAACCUGUAUGCAGGCGAACUAUCUAUUGGAACAACAUUAGUCUUAUCAGCAUGCGCGCCUAGACAUGCUCGCACGCCCGUAUGCACUCGCGCGCGCGCGCACAGAUUUGGAGAAUUUCCUAAAACCAUUUUUUCUUCUAAAGCACCCACGACGCUUCAAUUAUAUGUAUUUUGAUCAUAAAAUAGAAGGAGAAUCGUAUCAUGAUUUUAACUUUCUGUACAUUUCUUUAAAUGUUUUAGAUGUGAUUAAAGAGAUUCCUGUCAUUGUGAGCAGGAAGUCAUUUAAAUUUUCUUUUAUGAUAAAACUAUUAUAUAUACAGGAAUAAAGUGUGAUCUGAGUUCCCUUAAUUUGUUUUAUAGCUUGCACCACUACUUCGAAUUCGGGUCGAGCUUACGUUAACCCAACUUUGGCUUCAAGGUCUGAAUAUUAGAUCCUCGAAAGAGUAAGAACAGUUUGCUUGCCAUUGUCAGCACGCCACAGAAACAAAGCACCUGUAAAAAACCCAGGCUAGUUAGGUCGAAAUCAAGAAGGGUGCGGUGCCAGCCAAGUUUCUUCGUAAUAUGAAAUGCACAAUCUUCGCCAUUUUUGGUAGCCACUUUCACAUCAAGCCGUUCGUCUUGCUGUUUGAUGUUGUCUGCAUUCUUAAUCAUCUGAGAUCCUUGCAUUCUGAGUUAUUCAAGGCUCUAUAAUCUCUUCAUUUUUAUAGAAGAGUGGGAACUGAUCAGAAUUCCCUAGUGGGUUUCCAUGCAGCGUGUGACAGUUAAUUAUUGAGCAGUUUUUUUCUGUAACAAAAGCGUAGAGUGAAUCCUGCUUAUUACACACGCAUGAUGUAAAGUCUUGUGUGUUUCUUCUGUCUUGAAAGGGCAACAUAAGUUAUUGGUUCAGCUAAAGAGUCUGAGAAUGGUCGAUGCACGUAUUUCUCACGUAUAUGGUUUCUUCGAAGCUAACAGAAGACAUGGUCUUGUAAAGUAUCAUGUGUCUGGGCGGAUAUUAACAAUAUUGCACGACCAGUUCCAGUUAAUACAAUAAUGCUUAAUCAAUAAAUAUUCAUUUAUUAUUAAAACAGCUAUGUUCGAUAGUACGAUUUCCUACCAACUCCUAGAAUCAAUAAUUAAAAUGCCAAUUAUAUUCAAUGUUGUUAAUAUGAUCAGUUCUUCACAAUCAAGUAAUUAAAAAUUCAGAUUUCACUGUCCUAUUUGUAGCGGCAGAACUCAGAAAACUUGAAAUAGCAUGUUAAAAUACUAUAAAAUUAUUCUUGAAACCUCUUUUUUCAUAAAGGUCAACAAGAGAGAAAUCAGAACAAGUCAUGGCAAUGUAUACUUAGCAGAAAGUCGUGUACGGCUUUCUUUAAACCUAGCAUUGACAUAUAAUAUUUCGUUUCGUGAGUAGGUCUUUGUUCUUGAGAGCUUGGUUGUUGUAAUAUCCUGAAAGGUCACACAGCAGCAUCUAUAAUCUAUGCCUGACUGCUUUGCCAAAUUAUUUUUGGUGGGUAGCCAAUGGGAGAAUGUUUAAUGCAAGUUGAGCUAUAUAUAAUUUAAACGGUUGAGUGUAGGCUAAGAUUCUGUUAACUAAUAUUUUCUGGGCAUGUUUUGAUAUGAACUCCACUCAUUCUAACGUAAAUUCUUCCAUUUAGACGUGCUUGAACCUUUUAUUCAAAUACAAUACUUCCCCUACCAUAAAACUUUCAAAUUUGUACGGAGUUUAGAAAACAUAUUUUAGAGGUUUCGAUAGUUUUUCUUUGCAAGUUUGCUGAUGUUUUUCAAUUUUCUCUCUCUUAUAUAUAUGCAUUAUUUAGCAAUGUAAAAUAUUAAUCAAACUGCCAUUUGAUUAGUUAUUAAUUUGUUGUGGGUCAGCUCUUAAAUUGUUGACUUUAUCAUAUAAACACCAACAAUUCGUAACUAAUCAAAUGACAGUUUGUGCAAAGACACUGUCAAAGGCCUUAUCUCAACUAUAAAAUGCCAGCAGACUUGUGUUCCUCACAAUCUCAUCCUUGAAGUACAGCUUCAAAACUUCACUCAAGGGAAAAUGGCAAUUCAAAAGCUUUUCGUGGUCUGCUUUCUUCAACUCGUUUUCGCCUUUUUGCUUGCAGGCCUCACUAAUGCAAGGGGGCUGCAACUUGGAUUCUACCGGAGAGCAUGUCCUGAUGCAGAGCUUAUAGUCCAUCAAACUCUUUAUCGUUACAUCUCUAGGGACCGAACCCUUGCUGCUCCUCUGCUAAGAAUGCAUUUCCAUGAUUGCUUUAUCAGGGUAAGCUUUUAAGCUAAAGUCCUAGCAUGCAAUUUACACAGUAUGUAUCUGAUAUCACCAUCAUCUCAUUGUUACCUUGCCACAAAAGCACUUGGAAAUCAAGCGUUUUCAUCUUGUUUAGGAAACCACACAAUUCCAUAUCCUAACAAGUUAUGCUUUCCAGGGAUGUGAUGGUUCCGUGCUCCUAAGUUCUACAAAGAAGAAUCAAGCUGAGAAAGACGCCAUCCCAAAUCAAACCUUAAGAGGGUUCAAUGUCAUUGAUGCUGUAAAAUCAGCUCUGGAAAAGAAGUGUCCUGGUGUGGUUUCCUGUUCCGAUAUCUUGGCCCUGGUUGCUCGUGACGCAGUUCUAAUGGUAUCAAAUUUUCCAACACAAUCUGUAACCACUCAUUAACUGCAUCACUAUGCCUCUGCUUAACCAGUUUUUCUUUUCAGAUUGGCGGACCACAUUGGGAUGUCCCCACAGGACGCAGAGACGGAAGAGUGUCGAUUGCCAACGAGGCUCUAUUCAAUUUACCAUCUCCUUUCGCCAACAUAACUGUCCUCAAACAACAAUUUGCUGCAACGGGUUUAAGUGUAAAGGACCUUGCAGUUCUAUCAGGUAGUUUUCGUAACAAAAAAAAGCUAUCUGUUAAGCAAAAUAGCAGUGUGUUUACUUGGAAUAUGUUUUGGUGACAGGAGGACACACCAUAGGAAUUGGACACUGUACCUUAAUCUCGAACAGGUUGUACAAUUUCACAGGCAAGGGAGAUACCGACCCUUCAUUGGACCCAAGAUACGCUGCUCAACUGAAGAAAAAAUGCAAGCCUGGAAACUCCAACACAGUCGUUGAGAUGGACCCCGGUAGCUUCAAGUCUUUCGACGAAGAUUACUACACCAUUGUAGCUAAAAGAAGAGGAUUAUUCCAAUCUGAUUCAGCUCUUCUUGAUGAUGCUGAAACAAGAGACUAUGUCAGAUUUCAGUCAAGGACACAGGGAUCCACCUUUGGACAAGAUUUUGCUGAAUCCAUGGUGAAAAUGGGUUACAUUGGAGUCCUGACCGGCAAACAAGGCGAAAUCAGGAAACGUUGUGCUGUUGUGAAUUAAAUCGAUUUUCUAUUGAUUUCCUGAACAUGCACGUGUGAUUUCAUUUGUAUCUGUUUCAUUUAUUUUCCCCCAAAUUUGCAACCCAAUUAGUUGCAGGAUGUACUUCAUAAUUUGAGGUUUUCCCUCCAUGUUAUUUCUUGUGAUUUAUUCAAUAUUUCCUUCAUACGAAUAUAAACAUCCACUACCUUCUUGGUAUUUGAAUACCUGCUACAGUUUCCUUCACUCUUUUGGCUAGGCCAUGAAUAUAUGCAUGCUUGGGCAGAUUGCACCUCCCAUCAACAUAUCCAACAUCUUCACAGAAAUUUACCGAAGUUUAAAGCAAGUAUUCAAUCUGGAAGAACAUUUAUAUAUGUGCUCCUCGUAAAAUCUCAUUACCCAGAUGCCUCUACUUAUUUAUCUAUUGAACUGACCUAAAAAUGUCUCAAAACCAAUUGAUUGUACCUCCUUAGAACUAGUAACGCAGUGCACCAAUCUUUAAUAUCUUACCUGCUAUUGCCAGAAUGCCAGCCAUUAUUUUCUUGAUUUUCAUUCAAAACAGGAAGAAAAAAAAAAAGCACCUGUAGAUUAAUCCAGUACAGUCAAAUUUUGGAUGCAAAAGAUAGUUGAAAUCAAGAAGGGUGCCAGUCCAAUUACUUCAUAAUAUUCAUGCAUAAUCUUCACCAAUCACCAUGAGAUGUUUUGAACUCCAUUUAUCAUCUGAUCAAUUAGGGAUUAAUCUGCAACAAAUUUCUUCCUCAUAAACUGGAUAUUGGCAAAUGAUACCUCAGUGUGAUAGAACCAAUGAAAAAUGGUGUCAACUCAUCUGGAAAAGUCCAUGAAUUAAUUACUAGGGAAAAAUAAAUAAAUAAAAUGAAGUCCUUGUAUAUGUUCUGAAUCGUUCAAGCUUCUCAAAGCUUUUAAUCUCUUCGGUUUCGUAAAAGGGUGAGAACUGAGAAUUCCCUACGUCGUCUUCACACAGUUUGCCACAGUAUAUUGUACAGUUAAUGGAAACAUGCAGAGGACUUGGGAUGUUUUUGCAACUAAUCAUAAAGUGAAUCCUGCUUCUUACACAUGCAUAAUGUCCUGAGACAACUAAUGGAAGCAUCCAGAGGAAUAUAUUCUGUCUUCAAACGCUAAUGCAAGUGAAUGGUUAUGCUGAAGAAUCACUUAGCUCAACUACAUUUCGCAUGUGGUUUCUUCGAAACUAAGCUCUAUCGAUACCUUCCAAAUCCUGGAAUCAAUUACUUUGGAAAUUGUAACCCAAGGCCAACAAGGUAGAGAAGAUCAGAUCCAGUCAUAGCUACACAUAUUGAAUUACAGAAUGCCGUUUAUACAUUGCGGGAUUGAACAGUACAUUUAUAUUGAAUCACACAGUUUGCUUAAACCUUGCGCUCACAUAUUUAGCCAUUUCAUUUCUUACAAUGUCCCUACAGCUCUUCACAGCCAUUUCACUACCAUCAACAGACCUUUUGGGAAAUUAACACUUGUUUUUUGAUGAGGCCUUUGUGCGUAGCAACUUCUUGUUAUGUAUCCUGAAUGGGCAAAAUAAUAUCUAUAAUCUAUGUUAGAUUGUUUUUUGGUGGCAAUCCAAUGGGAGAAUGUUUAAUGCAAGUUGAGGUUUUUCAAUGUUUUGAGUACGAGUGUCAGCUAAAGAUUCUUAGAGCCAACACAUAAUUUAGCCGUGUUGUGGAGAGAGGCGAAGGCAUCCUCACAGGACGUGUUUCCAUUUUUUAAGUACUUGGAGUUGAGCGUUUCAAUAGGAGAAUGUUUAAUGCAAGUUGGGAAAACGUGCAAUCAUAUUACACACAGCUGACAGUUUGUACAAUGACGCUGUCAAAGACCUCAUCUUGACUAUAAAAAGCCGGAAAAAUUAUUGUGUUCCAAACCAUCUCAGCCUGAAGAACAACUUCAAAACUCCUGUUCACAGAUAAUGGCUAUCCAAAAGCUUUUUCAGUCCUCUUUCUUCAUCUGGCUCUCGCUUUCCUGCUAGUAGAACUCACUAAUGCAGGGGGGUUGCAACUCGGAUUUUGCCGGAGAGCCUGUCCUGAUGCAGAGCUUGUUGUACAUGAGACCCUUCACCGAUACAUUUCUAGGGACCCGACCCUUGCCGCUCCUUUGCUAAGAAUGUAUUUCCAUGAUUGUUUCAUCAGGGUAAGCCCUUAAGCUACGCCACUGUUCAAUUCACACAGUUGUGAAACAUAAUUUAUCUUAUAUCAUGAUUUUCAACAUUACUUUGCUGCUUAAGCACACGUAGAACAAUAUCCUAACAAGUUGUGGUUUCAGGGAUGUGAUGGCUCUGUGCUCAUAAGCUCUACAAAGAAAAAUCAAGCAGAGAAAGACGCGAUCCCGAAUAAAACCUUAAGAGGAUUCAAUGUCAUUGAUGCUGUAAAACCUGCACUGGAGAAAAAGUGUCACGACCCGAUCUUGGAUCCAUGACCGACAAAUAGACAAAGUUCCCUUCAAGAUUCUAUACCUAUGUGAACUCAAACUUACAUACAAACUUAUCUUUUAAAUAACUCAAUCAGAGUUCAACGCAAUACUAACAACAAAACUAACCUCACAAUAUAAUUUAAUUGUUUCAAUACAAUUUUAUAGUUGUGAAGCACUAAUUAGACAUAAAAAAAGAGUACAAAUUAUAACAAAAAAACAGGUUCUAAAAGUCCUACAAAAUGACCUGCUAACAAGCUAAAAGCCUAAAAAGAUAAAUAAUGAAAGGGUGAGUUCAACAAUUUGGUGAGUAGAUAACGUUUAAUACACACACAUGAGGUAAUAUAGCAAAGAUGAAUACAUAUACAAUUAUGGCUCUAGGUUCUUAUAGGAAGGUUUCUCAAAUAGGCUAUAAAAAGAAUAUCAUAAGGUAAAGCUAGUCAGAAAAAAAAAAAAAAAACAAUUAACAUGAGGCUCUGUACUGUGGGAUGAUCAAUUCACAUAAGUUGGUGACUCCCCCGACCAACUAGGAUUUAGAUACGAUGCGCACAAAGUGUGAUGUUUUGAAAAUAAAUGAGUAGGAAAAAAGCAAUAAAGCCCUUAAAGGCUUAAAAAUAGGCAUUAAUGAAUGAGGGACAUUGUAGUAAUUGAACAAUGAGUUGAUAAAUAUAAAUAGAAAAAGAAAAAAAAAGAAAAAGUUGUGUUCUUGAGAGAAAACCGUGAGAGGGAAAGAAGAAAAAGAGAAAAGAGAGAAAGAUAAAGGAAGAAGAAGCGAGUUAGAGAAAUGAGCUUAAAAAGUAAGAUUUAGGCUUUUAAAUCUAUAAAUGUGUGUUCUUUUAGCUUUAAAUUUCUAUUUGUUGAAUGUUAGGGUUUUGAAGAUUUGGUUUUGGGUUGAUUAAUGAAUUAAUUUGAAUGUUAUGGGUUGAUUGCUUUUGGGUAAUGAGUUGUUUAGUUGGUUUUGAAAGAUUUUAAAUAAAGAUGAUGAUUUUAAGUUAUGAUUUUAGUAAAUGGUGAAUUUGUGUUAGAAAUCAGAAAAUAACAGUAGGUGAUCUGUGAAAAUUCUGGGUUUGAGGUUGAAGAUGAUGAGAUUUCAGUUUGGUCCCUCAAUUUGUGAAAAUUAUAGUUUAGUCCCCAAACUUUAGAAAAAUUAUAGAUUGGUCCCCAGAGCAUAUUCCGAAAAUUAUAGAUUGGUCCCCAGAGCAUAUUCCGAGAUUCUGGACAGAAUACAAGAUGAAGUAUGGGUAGAAUUCCAGUAUAGUUAUGAAUUUUUAACCUUUUUCAUUUGGUCCUAUCAUUUGAUAAAAAUUACAAUUUGACCCUAAAAAUUUGAAAAAAUUCCAGAAUGGUCCCUGAAGCAUAAUUAGUGUUCUGGAAAGAAGUGAAGAUGAAUUAUGGACAUAAUUUCACUAUAGUCAUGAAUUUAUGAUAUUUUUAGUUUGGUCCUCCAAUUUGACAAAGUUACAAUUUGACCCUUAAUUUGGAGGACCAAACUAAAAAUAUCAUCAAUUCAUGAAUACAGUGUAAUUAUGUCCUUAAUUCAUCCCCAGUUCUAUCCAGAAUCUCUAAUUAUGCUCUAGGGACCAUUCUAAAAUUUCUCCAAAUUUUAAGGGUCAAAUUGUAAUUUUUAUCAAAUGGGAGGGUCAAAUUGAAAGUGUUAAAAAUUCAUAACUAUACUGGAAUUCUGCUCACAAUUCAUAUUUUAUUCUGUCCAGAAUCUCGGAUUAUGUUCCAGGGACCAAUCUAUAAUUUUUCUAAAGUUUGGGGACUAAACUAUAAUUUUCACAAAUUGAAGGACCAAACUGAAAUUUUAUCAUCUUAAACCUCAAACCCAGAAUUUUCACAGGUCACCAACUGUUAUCUCCUGAUUUCUAACACAAAUUCACCAUUCAAACAAAAUCAUAACUCAAAAUCAUCAUCUUUAUCUACAAUCUUUCAUAAUCAAUUAAAUAACUAAUUACCCAUAACAAUCAAUCCAUAAUAUUUAAAUCAAUUCAUCAAUCAACCCAAAACACAAUCUUCAAAACCCUAACAUUCAACAAAAUAGAAAUUUAAAGAUAAAAAAACAAAUAUUUAUACAUUUCAAAACUUAAAUCUUAGCUUUAAACUUAUUUUCUUUAACUCUCUUCUCCUUCCUUUAUCUUACCCUUUUUUUUUUCUCUUCUUCUUCUUUUCUUUUUCUUCUCUUCUCCCGUCAGUUUUUCACUCUUAAUUUCAGAUCUCUCUCUUUUUUUUCUAUUUAUAUUUAUCAAGUUUUAUUCAAUUACCACAACACCCUUCAUUCAUUUAUACCACUUUUAAGCCUUCAAGGGCCUUGUUGCCUUUUCCUGCUCUUCUAUUUCAAAACAUAACAAGAAGUGUCCUGGGUGUGGUUUCCUGUUCUGAUGUCUUGGCCCUGGUGGCUCGUGACGCAGUCCUGAUGGUAUUGAAUCUUCCAACACAAAAUCUAUCUCCACUAGUAAACUGCUCCAUAUGCGUAUGUGCAUAAUCAAAGCCUCUCCUUCCAGAUUGAUGGACCGUAUUGGGAUGUUCCCACCGGACGCAGAGAUGGAAGAGUGUCGAUUGCUAACGAGGCUUUAUUCAAUCUACCAUCUCCUUUCGCCAACAUUACUGUCCUGAAACAGCAAUUUGCUGCAACGGGUUUAAGUGUAAAGGACCUUGCAGUCCUAUCAGGUAGUUUUCGUAGCAAAUAAAGCUAUCUAUUGAGCUAAAUAUCAGUGUAUUUACUUGGAAUAUUUUCUGGUGACCGGAGGAGACACCACAGGAAUUGGACACUGCACCAUAAUCUCGAACAGGCAAGGAAGAUACUGACCCUUCAUUGGACCCAAGGUACGUUGCUCAACUGAAGAAAAGAUGCAAGCCUGGAAACUCCAACACAGUCGUUGAGAUGGACCAUGGGAGCUUCAACACUUUCGACGAAGAUUACUACACCAUUGUAGCUAAAGAAGAGGGCUUCCGAUCUGAUGCAGUCUUCUUGACGACUGCUCAAGAGACUACGUCAAGUUUCAGUAAAGGACACAGGGAUCCACCUUUGCACAAGAUUUUGCUGAAUCCAUGGUG